UCCUGUUGUCUUUGGCGUUCCUGGUCUGUGCGCAAUCCAGGCAGCCUCACUCCAGCCCCCCGAGGCAAAGAGCAAGAUUCUAAGAAGUGAAAAAGCAAGUAAGACUCCAGGAUUCGUCGAGGGAGACCCCACCUCAGGUCCUGGAGACCCGGUACCAGCACUGUUGGAUCUGCCAGAUCAGAAAGAGGCAGAAGACAAGUAGAUUACCGCAGCACCGGGGAUCCCUGCAGCUUUGAUCCUGUGGCAAUAGGCCCCUUACUGGCUCCCACUCAGGGCCCUGGAAUGGACCCACCACGGCACAGGCUCCCAGAAGAAGUAGCAACAUGGCAAAGCUUAGGUCAGGUGGAUGGUGUUUUGGGGAGUGGGAAGGAAACACUGAUGUAACUGGCUUAGUCAGUUUGGGGUGGGGUACCCCUUACUUCAUAGUACCUCUGUCACUGAGGCCACCUCACAAAGGAGCCUGCUGCUGCUGCUCUUACAACUCUAGCUAAUAGUUCUGGCUAACAGGCCCUGGGUAGAGGAAACCUCUCCUAGGAAGACUAGCCUCAGACAAGAACUGGUGUGUUAUGCCUCCAUGUGACCAAAUGUCUAAAUAGCAGCCUGGGUAUAUUUCAGACCUGCUCAGCUUUCCCUGACCUUGGUUCUAGAGCCUUCACCAAGGACAGUGAGGGAAGUUCCAUCUGUAACUCAGGUCCAUAAACCUGUGCCCAGCCAAGCAAUGGUGGUGCACUCCUUUAAUCCCAACGCUCGGGAGACAGAGACAGAAGAAUCUCUGUGAGUUCGAGGCCAGUCUGGUCUACAAAGAGAGUUCCAGGACAGGCUCCAAAAGCUACAGAGAAACCCUGUCCUGGGGGAAAAAAAUCUGUGCCCAGGUAGUGACUGAUAAGUUAGGGUGAUCCCUCAGCCUCUCAUGGAAAUGACAACUAGGCAGAGAACUUUUAAUUUAAAGGAUCUCAGUGGUAUACUAAAAGCUUGCCUCAUUGAUGGGUUGUUGGGUACAUUUGGACAAAAGGAAUAGCGUCUUAUGUUCUACAGCACAGCAGGAUAACUAUGAUUGGUAAGGACUCACUGAAUUUUUUGUUUCUGUUUCUUGAGACAGACCUUUCUAAAUAGCUCAGACUGUCCUCAAAUUCACACUGAUCCUCUUGCCUCACACUGAAUAAGUUAGUAAGAGGACCCUAGGAGCAAAACUACCUUGGCCAGGCUUCAUCAUAUCACAUGAGGUUCUUUUUUUUUUUUUUUUUUUGGUUUUUUACGAGACAGGGUUUCUCUGUAUUGUUUUGGAGGCUAUCGGUCCAGCCCAGCCUCAAACUCACAGAGAUCCGCCUGCCUCUGCCUCCUGAGUGCUGGGAUUAAAGGCGUGCGCCACCACCGCCCGGCAGCACAUGAGGUUCUUAAAGAACUGUAUCUCCAAAUCACCGUCUUCUCCCCUCUCUUCCCCUCCCCUUGUCUAUGUUUGUUUUUCUGAAGUUUCUGGCUUGGAAAUCAUUGUGUAACCCAGGCUGACCUCAAACUCACAAUAAUCCUCCUGUCUCAGCUUCCUAAGUGCUGGGAUUGCAGGCACAAGUCACGAGGCCUUUACUUUAUUAGGUAAAAUAAAUUCCAUUUCUAGGGUUAAAGAAUACUGCUCUGCUUUGAGGAGUCUUUACUUCUCUGAAACAGAGGUAACCUUGGAGGAGGAGGAGUCUAGGCAACAAUACGGAUGAUGAAAUCACAGAAUUGUCUAGAGAAAUGCUGGCCCUGAGAAAGGAGAACUCCGGAGGAGGAAGGCUGCAGUAGAGCCUGCUGAGCAUCACCACGUGUGCCCUGGGUUAACCCUUUCUGUACUCUGGAGUGAAGAGACUGUCUUCCUGCCCGACAUGAAUGACAGAGUGAUGUAACCUACCCAAUCACAGAAAAAUCCAUGUUCCUGGUAGCAAGUCACACAUAGCAAACUUAAUUUCUUUGAACCCUCUCCAAAAGUUUAAAAAAUAAAUCUAAAUCUUAUAACAAGGCUUUUCUAAUACCAUAGCUUUUAGAAAAGGUGUAGUCCUGGCUGGCCUGGAACUCACUAUGUAAAAUAGACUGGCCCCAAACAGACAUCCAUGUGCCUCUGCCUCUGAGUGCUGGGAUUAAGAACACAGGCCACAGCUCCCCGUGGAUUCUGUUCUCUCUUGUUGGAACAAGCAGUAGCGUUAGAGGUCUGCUCUUAGUGUUCUUUGGCUGGUGAACCCUGAUAAUACAAUGAGAUCGGGACCAUUUGUUCUCAAGCUGGCUUCCCUUGGGUGAGUCCUACCAGACUCUUUGUCCAAAAUCCUGUUUUGGUUGCCAUCAUCAAAGAACCCAGUGAGACAAGCCCCUCCUUUCGGCCAGGCAUGGUACCAGAAGAACGGGAUUCAAAGGGGCCAGGGCAGAGCCCUCAGUGUGCUUGCAAAGUCAGACACUGAAUAAGCAUAAAGUCAGCAAAUGAUCCAAACAGCAAAUGCAAGAAGGCUAUAAUUUUAUCUAGCAAGGUCAAGGAAUCAAGGUCCCAAUGAAGAGACACUAAAUAAAAAUUAGCUAAACAAAGUAAA